GAUGAACGCUGGCGGCGUGCCUAAUACAUGCAAGUCGAGCGAACGGACGAGACGCUUGCUUCUCUGAUGUUAGCGGCGGACGGGUGAGUAACACGUGGAUAACCCACCUAUAAGACUGGGAUCACUUCGGGAAACCGGCGCUAAUACCGGAUAAUAUUUUGAACCGCAUGGUUCAAAAGUGAAAGACGGUCUUGCUGUCUGUUGGAGCGGGAUCCGCGCUGCAUUAUCUAGUUGGUAGGGGAGCGGCUUACCAAGGCAAUGAUGGGUAGCCGGCAUGAGAGGGUGGACGGCCACGUGGGGACUGAGAUACGGACCAGACUGCGAGGGGAGGCAGCAGUGGGGAAUAUGGCAAAAUGGGAGGAAGCCUGAUGCAGCAACGCCGGGUGCGGGAUGACGGCCUUCGGGUUGUAAACAGAUUUCGCCUGUGACGAAGCGUGAGUGACGGUAAUGGGUAAAGAAGCAACGGCUAACUACGUG
rnacentral:rRNA from 1 species